rnacentral:lncRNA from 1 species
UCUAAAUAUAAUAAUCAGAUUUGAGAGGGAACACACAAACAGUGUGACUUUCUUUAAUUGUAGAUGAACUGAAAGUCAUGCAUUAAUAUGGUGACCUUGACUUGCCGGUUUGGAGAGAGAAUAUUUCAGGAAGUGGUUCUUUGAUUUUUUUUCCCCCUACAGUUUUGUACUGGGAAUUGAGCCUAGGUGCACUUUACCACUAAGCUACAUUCUCAGUACUUUUUAUUUUCAUUUUGAGACAGGAUCUCACUAAACUGCUAAGGCUGUCCUUAAACUUGCAACCCUCCUGCCUCACCUUCCCAAAUUGCUGGGAUUAUAUGCAUGCACCCCCAUGCCCAGCUCUUAAUUAUUUUUUAAAUAAAAGGGACUCAGAGGCUGAGGCAGGAAGAUUGCAAGUUCAAGGCCAACAAUUUAGCAAGACCCUGUUCAAAGUAAAAAUUAAAAAGACUAUAGAUGUAGCUCAAUGGUAAAGUGCCCCUGGGUUCAAAUCCCAGGGCCAAAAUAAAAGAUAAAAAGAAGUGCUUUCUUAGUUCUUUGAGAUUACAAUGUGGCCCAAUGUAUUCAUUUCGUUUAGUGUGACACAACAUAUGUUGAUCUUAUUAAAACUAGUUCUGUUUUCCUAGCAGCUUGGAUUUUUAAAUAUUUUAAAUAUUCAUUGCUUUUUUCCCACUUCUGUCUCAGCUAUUGCUAUUCUCUUCAAAAUACAUAUUUAAAGAAUGUUCAGUCUUCUCAUCUUAAUCUAAAACCAUGCAAUUAGUUCCAAUCUGAUGAGAAGAAAUGGAUUGUGAGUGCAACUUUUUUUGAAACAUUUAUUUUCAUCUUUUGAUAAUUUGACAACUUGUGGCAGUUCUAAUAUUUCUGGAACAAUUCUCCCAAUUAUAGAAGAAGCUAUUAGUGACAAUAUGAUAAAUUAAAAUUAUUUGAUUACUUUGAAUUUAUCCAAAAUGAUGUUGAUUAAAUUUUCUCCACCUUUCUUUCCCCCGCCUAGCCCCUGAUGCACAGCCUGUGUCAUGACUAUAUUUAUGUCCAAGGAGUGAUGAUCCUUAAAUAGCAGCUAAUUGAUCUAAUAGAAUAUCAGUUAGAUAUUCU